rnacentral:rRNA from 1 species
UGGCGACCGGCGCACGGGUGAGUAACACGUAUCCAACCUGCCGAUAACUCGGGGAUAGCCUUUCGAAAGAAAGAUUAAUAUCCGAUAGGAUAUCAAGGUCGCAUGAUCUUGAUAUUAAAGAAUUUCGGUUAUCGAUGGGGAUGCGUUCCAUUAGUUAGUUGGCGGGGUAACGGCCCACCAAGACGACGAUGGAUAGGGGUUCUGAGAGGAAGGUCCCCCACAUUGGAACUGAGACACAGUCCAAACUCCUACGGAAGGCAGCAG